rnacentral:lncRNA from 1 species
UUGAAGUUUACCAGGAUUGGCUUCAAAAGUAAUUUGCCGAGGCAUCGACAAUGUUUCCUUUUGGAUCACCUCGCCACUCUUGUUGAUACUGAAGGAUUUCAAACAUAGCUGCUUGUAGUCCUCCAUAGCUUUUGCCAUAGCUUGCUUCUGUUCAUCUCUGAGAUUGGCUUCCGUCACGGGGAUGACGUUCUCCAAGUCAAAAUCGGUGUUCGACAUGUUGAUCUUGAUGUUGAAUCUCAGUCCCACUAGGCGUGCCAAAAGAUGUGUUGAUGCAAAAGCUGAUCUGCAAACACAAAGGGCUAAUACCCGAUUCAACAUUAAGGCGUGCCAGCCGAUUUGACCUUACAAUCGACAAAGGUGAUAACUCGAAUACUUUGGUCCCGACAACAGCGAUGCACCCAGAUGUCAUGGCCAAGAGGUAUUCACACGGAACUCGAGAACUCGCCGAGGUUGACUCGAAGAAUUCCAAAGAACUCGUAGAAAAAGAAAAUAUGCAAAUUGACGAAGUCGUCGAAAAUGUAGAUGCUGGAAUAGAUGUAAAGACUUGUAUUUGAUUGAUUGUGUAUAUUUACAUCGCUAUGGGGUCUAACAUUUAUACCCUGCCCAAAAGGGUUACAAUCAGACACGACUAGGACUUGAAUUCCAAAUUAAAUAGAAUCUGUAUACAAAACAAACUCCAACAACUAUGGAAAGCAUUAAAUUAUGUCCCACAACCGAUCGGUACACCACCAUGAAUCGAUCGACGACCCCUACGCCCUUUUUUCAUGACCAUCGGCAAACCAUCUCCCAUAGCCAUCGGCAGCCAUCAGCACCAGUCAUCGGCACGAACCCAUCACCACUCUUGGACUUGGCCAUGCUUUGUCGUUUUCUCAUCGGCACCAACCCUCAUCGGCAACUCUUCUGCAGACUAGUCACCACAUCUCUGCCUGCCGAUUUACACCUCAUUAACUCCAGAUACUCAUCCAAAGAUACGUGUCCAAAAACGGUGUCAACAGAAUGUAUGUAAUCUUUGAUGGAGAUGCUUGAUCAUGUACGAUCUUGGUUGUAUGUUAGUUGAAUUGAGAUCUUUUGAGGUUUCAUCAGAAUACCGGGUUUAUAUGGGUUCAAGUCCAUUUGCUUGACCGCUCUCAUGGUCGCUAAUUCACUUGAAUUCUCAUAAAUUAGACGGUUCUUGAGAGCACCCCCAUUUAUCCAGCUAAGUGUUUCUACUCGUGUUUAUACUUUACUCAAAUAAUAAAAAGAUGCAUAAUCAUGAAAACCCAAAUAAAAAUUUUGUGCUUAUAUAUAUCUUUGCUUAGUUUGCUAAAUAAAUAAAUAAAGUGUCUAGGCCAAACUGAACUUAAAUGAUAAACUCUUACAUGGAUAUGAUAAAUAGUUGCUCUGCCAUGUACCUAGUUUUCAAGUUUGAGCUCUCUCUCAAGUUUAGGCAUAACUGUUAUAAUAAACCUGCUCUAAACCUGAACUUGUGGGAAGAGUACUUGAUCUAAAGUCUAAGUCAUUAACGGAUAUGAUAUGGAAAGGUUGAGCAGUUAUUUAUCUGUUCCUAGAGUUGCUAGAAUUCUGGAGAAUAUUAUUUUUGAAAAUCUUUAAAAUAUUGCAUGAUGAGUUCCUAUAUGAUAAGAGUUUAAAUUCCUACCACAGCUAUACAUACAUGCUUAUUAAACUAAGAACCAUACAAUUACUUUUUACUGCUUAUGAGCAUUGAGUGUGGUCAAGCUGUGUAGACCCUUAGGAGCUUGUCAUGCGGUUAAAUUCAAGAUCCACUUGCACGUUCACUCACACAUGCUACUUCUACUCCGGAAGUAUACAUCCACAUACAUCCACUCACUUCCAUCUCCAAAUUCACCUAAAAUUAUUCUACUCCUAAUCCGGGAGAGAAUAGCCAAAAACAUUCUCCUAUUUCUGUUUUUCCCUGUGAAAUAAAUGCUCGAGUUAUCUUGGUUACUACCACUUGCUAUAUUAUUUCAUGAGAUGAGUGCUCUAAAAAAACAAAAAAAUAAAAAAAAGAAAGAGAAAGGAUAUGAGGAAAUAAAAAGGGGCAAGUGCCCGGAACCUCGAAGAAAAGAAAAAGUGAGACGAGAGGUAAAAAUGGCAAGUGUCCGAAUUAGGGGUACAAGAUACCCACCUGAGUGAAAAGAAAAAAAUAUAGAGCACCUCAUUCUCCUCAAAAAAGCUUCAAAGUGCAAGAAAGGUAAAAAGUAGAAUUAGACUUUCACCAUUGUUAUCACCAUCAUCACCAUACACCAUUCACUCGCCACACAUGCACAUCUUGAUUUGACUUAUUGACUUGUUCUUCUAGAUCCAUGGUUUGACUAUGCAAUAAAUGUCUUGUAAGUAUGUGUUAUCUUUCUCCCACCUAUGAGCUCUAGAUAUCAAAACCUUAUUAGGGUAGGGUGAGAGAGAAGGUAAUAUCACUAUGCCUCAUACUAAAAAUACCACAUACUUUGAGAGAAGGCAUAUACCAUUACUGCCUUGGAAAGGAUCUAGAAAUACAACAAAAGAGAGAUUUGAGAGAGUCAUGCAAGGAAUCUCUGAGUUUUAUUUGAAAAUCUGCAAAAACUCUAGAGUUAUAGCUGAUCAAAGAACAAGAGACAUGGCGCUUGACUAGACUGUUCUAUCUUUUAACUGCUCAAGACAUAAGUGACGGUUGCAAGCCCCAUGGUGAAAGGUAAAAUCAAUAAGUUUUAAGUCUUAACAGUUUACUCUAACUCAGAUAUGAGAUCUUGCUUGAACACAUGUGUACUUUUAAGGCAUUAAACCACUGUAGAAACUCUUGAGUCCAUCCUUACUCAGGGACGAGCAAGAGGUAAGCUUGGGGAAGUUGUUCACGGUCCUUAAGUACCAAAUAUAAUCAUCAAAUAAAUAAAGAAAAGGAUCCAAAUGCAACCAACACCCAGACUUAGGGUUUUAUCUCACAAAAUUCCACGAGUUUUGGUGUUUGUCUAUUUCUACAGGGGGUUAUCAGGAAAUAUGGAGGAAAGGCCCACAUGUUGGGUUUACAUAGAGAUAUUAAUGUGUGCGCCAAUUUUCUAUCAUCUAGAAGAGUCCAGAAGCGACAGGAACGAACACGAGGCCGAGCGGGCCUGGGGGCAGGUGAAAGCCCU